CCUACGGGCGGCUGCAGUGAGGAAUAUUGGUCAAUGGGCUUACGCCUGAACCAGCCAAGUCGCGUGAGGGAAGACUGCCCUAUGGGUUGUAAACCUCUUUUGUCAGGGAGCAACGCCGGCUACGUGUAGCCGGACUGAGAGUACCUGAAGAAAAAGCAUCGGCAAACUCCGUGCCAGCAGCCGCGGUAAUACGGAGGAUGCGAGCGUUAUCCGGAUUUAUGGGGUUUAAAGGGUGCGUAGGCGGAAUGCCAAGUCAGCGGUAAAAUCGUGGGGCUCAACCUCGCUCCGCCGUUGAUACUGGCGUUCUUGAGUGGGCGAGAAGUAUGCGGAAUGCGUGGUGUAGCGGUGAAAUGCAUAGAUAUCACGCAGAACUCCGAUUGCGAAGGCAGCAUACCGGCGCCCAACUGACGCUGAAGCACGAAAGCGUGGGUAUCGAACAGGAUUAGAUACCCCUGUAGUC
rnacentral:rRNA from 1 species